rnacentral:rRNA from 1 species
UACGGAGGGUGCAAGCGUUAAUCGGAAUGACUGGGCGUAAAGGGCAUGUAGGCGGAUAAUUAAGUUAGGUGUGAAAGCCCUGGGCUCAACCUAGGAAUAGCAUUUAAAACUGGUUAACUAGAGUAUUGUAGAGGAAGGUAGAAUUCCACGUGUAGCGGUGAAAUGCGUAGAGAUGUGGAGGAAUACCGGUGGCGAAGGCGGCCCCCUGGACAAAGACUGACGCUGAGGUGCGAAAGCGUGGGGAGCAAACAGG